AGAGUUUGAUCCUGGCUCAGAGUGAACGCUGGCGGCGUGCCUAACACAUGCAAGUCGAACGAUGAUGGAGAGCUUGCUCUCCUGAUUAGUGGCGCACGGGUGAGUAUACCAUAGAUAAUGUACCUCUUAGUUCGGGAUAGCCACUGGAAACGGUGAUUAAUACCGGAUACUCCUUCUUGUCUUAAGGCGAGUCGGGAAAGUUUUUUCGCUAAGAGAUCAGUCUAUGUCCUAUCAGCUAGUUGGUGAGGUAAUGGCUCACCAAGGCUAUGACGGGUAUCUGGUUUGAGAGGAUGAUCAGACACACUGGAACUGAGACACGGUCCAGACUCCUACGGGAGGCAGCAGUGAGGAAUAUUGCACAAUGGAGGAAACUCUGAUGCAGCAACGCCGCGUGGAGGAUGACGCAUUUCGGUGUGUAAACUCCUUUUAAGAGGGAAGAUAAUGACGGUACCUCUUGAAUAAGCACCGGCUAACUCCGUGCCAGCCGCCGCGGU
rnacentral:rRNA from 1 species